rnacentral:rRNA from 1 species
AUUGAACGCUGGCGGCAGGCUUAACACAUGCAAGUCGAGCGGAAACGAUACCAGCUUGCUGGUAGGCGUCGAGCGGCGGACGGGUGAGUAACACUUAGGAAUCUACCUAGUAGUGGGGGAUAGCUCGGGGAAACUCGAAUUAAUACCGCAUACGACCUACGGGAGAAAGGGGGCAGUUUACUGCUCUCGCUAUUAGAUGAGCCUAAGUCGGAUUAGCUAGAUGGUGGGGUAAAGGCCUACCAUGGCGACGAUCUGUAGCUGGUCUGAGAGGAUGAUCAGCCACACCGGGACUGAGACACGGCCCGGACUCCUACGGGAGGCAGCAGUGGGGAAUAUUGGACAAUGGGGGCAACCCUGAUCCAGCCAUGCCGCGUGUGUGAAGAAGGCCUUUUGGUUGUAAAGCACUUUAAGCAGUGAAGAAGACCAUAUGGUUAAUACCCAUAUGCGAUGACAUUAGCUGCAGAAUAAGCACCGGCUAACUCUGUGCCAGCAGCCGCGGUAAUACAGAGGGUGCAAGCGUUAAUCGGAAUUACUGGGCGUAAAGCGAGCGUAGGUGGCUUGAUAAGUCAGAUGUGAAAUCCCCGGGCUUAACCUGGGAACUGCAUCUGAUACUGUUAAGCUAGAGUAGGUGAGAGGGAAGUAGAAUUCCAGGUGUAGCGGUGAAAUGCGUAGAGAUCUGGAGGAAUACCGAUGGCGAAGGCAGCUUCCUGGCAUCAUACUGACACUGAGGCUCGAAAGCGUGGGUAGCAAACAGG